GCCAGCAGCCAUAUCACUCUGCAACUCCCAGCUGGCAGCCCACUGAAGCUCAGCAGGUGUGAGCCUGGUCAGCACCUGGAUGGGAGACCUGGGAAAAACUAAGGUUGCUGCUGGAA
rnacentral:rRNA from 1 species